rnacentral:pre_miRNA from 1 species
CUUCUACUCCCUCCGUCCCAAAUUACUUGUCGCAGAAAUGGAUGUAUCUAGAACUAAAAUACAUCUAGAUACAUCCAUACUUGCGACAAGUAAUUUGGAACCGAGGGAGUACUAU